UACGGAGGAUGCAAGCGUUAUCCGGAAUUAUUGGGCGUAAAGCGUCCGUAGAUGGUUUUGUCAGUCUGCUGUCAAAGCACAGGGCUUAACCCUGUAAAGGCAGUGGAAACUACAAGACUAGAGUGCAGUAGGGGCAGAGGGAAUUCCCAGUGUAGCGGUGAAAUGCGUAGAGAUUGGGAAGAACAUCCGUGGCGAAAGCGCUCUGCUGGACUGCAACUGACAUUGAGGGACGAAAGCUAGGGGAGCGAAUGGG
rnacentral:rRNA from 1 species